AACGCGAAGAACCUUACCUGGGCUCGAAGCACAGUGGACCGGGAUAGAAAUAUCCCUUUUCGCAAGAACUGCUGUGGAGGUGCUGCAUGGCUGUCGUCAGCUCGUGUCGUGAGAUGUUGGGUUAAGUCCCGCAACGAGCGCAACCCUUAUCGUUAGUUGCCAGCGAGUCAAGUCGGGCACUCUAGCGAAACCGCCCCGGAUAACGGGGAGGAAGGUGGGGAUGACGUCAAGUCCUCAUGGCCUUUAUGUCCAGGGCUACACACGUGCUACAAUGGUCGGUACAAACCGUCGCAAACCUGCGAAGGGGAGCUAAUCGGAAAAAGCCGGCCUCAGUUCGGAUUGGAGUCUGCAACUCGACUCCAUGAAGCUGGAAUCGCUAGUAAUCGCGGAUCAGCACGCCGCGGUGAAUACGUUCCCGGGCCUUGUA
rnacentral:rRNA from 1 species